AUUGAACGCUGGCGGCAUGCCUUACACAUGCAAGUCGAACGGCAGCACGGGAGCAAUCCUGGUGGCGAGUGGCGAACGGGUGAGUAAUAUAUCGGAACGUGCCCAGUCGUGGGGAUAACGUAGCGAAAGCUACGCUAAUACCGCAUACGAUCUAUGGAUGAAAGCGGGGGAUCGCAAGACCUCGCGCGAUUGGAGCGGCCGAUAUCAGAUUAGGUAGUUGGUGAGGUAAAGGCUCACCAAGCCGACGAUCUGUAGCUGGUCUGAGAGGACGACCAGCCACACUGGGACUGAGACACGGCCCAGACUCCUACGGGAGGCAGCAGUGGGGAAUUUUGGACAAUGGGCGCAAGCCUGAUCCAGCAAUGCCGCGUGCAGGAUGAAGGCCUUUGGUUGUAAACUGCUUUUGUACGGAACGAAACGGUGAGCUCUAAUACAGUUUGCUAAUGACGGUACCGUAAGAAUAAG
rnacentral:rRNA from 1 species